rnacentral:pre_miRNA from 1 species
AGUGGGAUAGCUGGGUCAAAUUGUGGUCUCGUUCCAAAUUUUCUAAGGAAUCUCCAGACUGCUUUCCAGAUUAGCUACAUCAAUAUGCAGUCCCACCAGCAAU